GAUGAACGCUGGCGGCGUGCUUAACACAUGCAAGUCGAACGAUGAAGCCCAGCUUGCUGGGUGGAUUAGUGGCGAACGGGUGAGUAACACGUGAGUAACCUGCCCUUAACUCUGGGAUAAGCCUGGGAAACUGGGUCUAAUACCGGAUAGGAGCGCCUACCGCAUGGGGGGUGUUGGGAAGAUUUAUCGGUUUUGGAUGGACUCGCGGCUUAUCAGCUUGUUGGUGAGGUAAUGGCUCACCAAGGCGACGACGGGUAGCCGGCCUGAGAGGGUGACCGGCCACACUGGGACUGAGACACGGCCCAGACUCCUACGGGAGGCAGCAGUGGGGAAUAUUGCACAAUGGGCGAAAGCCUGAUGCAGCGACGCCGCGUGAGGGAUGACGGCCUUCGGGUUGUAAACCGCUUUCAGUAGGGAAGAAGCGAAAGUGACGGUACCUGCAGAAGAAGCACCGGCUAACUACGUG
rnacentral:rRNA from 1 species